rnacentral:rRNA from 1 species
UACGUAGGGUGCAAGCGUUGUCCGGAAUUAUUGGGCGUAAAGAGCUCGUAGGUGGUUUGUCGCGUUGUCCGUGAAAACUCACAGCUCAACUGUGGGCGUGCGGGCCGAUACGGGCAGACUGGAGUACUGCAGGGGAGACUGGAAUUCCUGGUGUAGCGGUGGAAUGCGCAGAUAUCAGGAGGAACACCGGUGGCGAAGGCGGGGUCUCUGGGCAGUAACUGACGCUGAGGA